AUUGAACGCUGGCGGCAGGCCUAACACAUGCAAGUCGAACGAGUGGCGGACGGGUGAGUAAUGUCUGGGAAACUGCCUGAUGGAGGGGGAUAACUACUGGAAACGGUAGCUAAUACCGCAUACCAUCAGAUGUGCCCAGAUGGGAUUAGCUAGGUGGUGGGGUAACGGCUCACCCAGGCGACGAUCCCUAGCUGGUCUGAGAGGAUGACAAGCAAAACUGGAACGGAGACAAGGUCCAGACUCCUACGGUAGGAAGCAGUGGGGAAUAUGGCACAAUGGGCGCAAGCCUGAUGCAGCCAGGCCGCGUGUAUGAAGAAGGCCUUCGGGUUGUAAAGUACUUUCAGCGGGGAGGCGUUACCCGCAGAAGAAGCACCGGCUAACUCCGUGCCAGCAGCCGCGGUAAUAC
rnacentral:rRNA from 1 species